GCUGCUGCUGGUGCUUGCACUGCCGUUGUGACCCAGCCCCUAGAUACGGCCUCCUCAAGGAUGCAGACAAGUGCUUUUGGCAAAUCAAAAGGACUUUGGCAGACUUUGACUGAGGGCACUUGGAGUGAUGCAUUUGAUGGCCUUGGCAUCUCUCUUUUGCUGACCUCAAAUCCUGCAAUUCAGUAUACAGUGUUUGAUCAACUCAAACAAAGACUUCUCAAGGGAAAGGAAGAUGCUGCAGACAAGGGUUCCUCUGUUGAAGCCCUUUCUGCCUUCACAGCUUUUGUUCUGGGUGCAAUUUCAAAGAGUGCUGCCACCUUCAUUACAUAUCCUGCAAUCAGGUGUAAGGUGAUGAUUCAAGCAGCAGAUUCAGAUGAUGAUGAAAACAAGAAAGGUCAACCGGAAUCCAGUAAAACAGUGCCUGCAGUUGUGUGUGCGAUAUGGAGAAGAGAAGGAUUUUUGGGAUUUUUCAAGGGAUUGCAAGCCCAGAUCUUGAAGACUGUGCUGAGCUCAGCAUUGCUUUUGAUGAUCAAAGAGAAAAUUACCAGAAGUACUUGGGUUCUCAUACUUGCGAUCAGAAGGUAUCUAUUGCUUACAAGGGGCAGAAUAAAAAGUGCCUGAUGGCAAUAAAUCAUUGAUAAUAUGCUUUAGUUCUUUGUAAAUAGAGUGGCUUUAAUUGGAUGCCAAGAAAUAGAUGGAUUUUAUGAGAGCCAGGUUCAAUUCCUCAAACAGGAAGGUCAAUGGUGAAAAAUAAAUACUUGAAGUCCAAGGGUAAACGGUACUGAAUCAAGGCUACAUAUUUUAUCCUUAGGGUAAGAUAUAGUUUGCGAGAAAUAAUCUGAAGCAGGAAUUCUUACUUUGCAGGGAGACUGAUUAAUACCCGUAUAAACUGUGACUUGUAUUGUUUUCAAUUCAGUUCAUAUUUCAUUUUCUUCUUAUUAUUACCAGUUGUAUAUAAAUAUGUUUGUGCUUUUCUGGUUAAUUGUGUUCAAUGGUUUUCAGAGGGAGGUUCCUUGAUAAUCAUUUUGGAUACUGAUAGGGAUUUAGUUUUAAGCAGAGUUGAAUGAUGAUAAUACUAAUUGUUUAGAAUUAAGAUUUAGUUGUUGUGUUUGUUGGGGGGAAAAUGCAUUGGAAAAUAUUCCUACAUGCGAAUUCAUUUUCUGUCUGUAAGUAUUGUAUAAAAUCUUAGUAGAUUUAUUGCGUAAUAGUUGUCAAAAUAUAAUUAUUUAAUAUUUUUCUAAUUUCUUUAUUUGCACUCUCUUAAAAUGUAAUAAAAGUAUUUAUUUAAAGCUUGAUCCCAUUUUUGUUUCACUAUUUCAUUGAAGGCCUUUUUGGAUUUA
rnacentral:misc_RNA from 1 species